UACACCACAGCUCAAGGCAACACCGGAUCCUUAACCCACUGAGCAAGGCCAGGGAUUGAACCCAUAACCUCAUGGUUCCUAGUCGGAUGCGUUAACCACUGAGCCAUGACGGGAAUUCCUAGAUGUGAGAUUUUUAAACACAAUCCAGUGCUCUUGGGCAGCUUUGUUGCAACAGAAUCAAUAACAAGAAAAGGGAAAGGGAAAAAGCAAUUCUUCUCUUAAAGUUAGAAGUGAUGCAUAUGAUUAACUCUGAAGAAACCUUCCAUAUUCCUCUGGGAAUAAAAAUAAAAAUUUCAGGUUUAUUUACAUGGGUGGAAGACAAGAAAGAAAGAAAAAAAUGGUGUCUUUUCAAAAGGACAUUUGUCAGAGUUGGGCCUACAUGGUCAUCCUGCCCAAAACACUGCAUCAUUAAGAAAAGUAAUAAUUGAUCUGCCUUGAAAGAAGAAUAAGGACCCACACAGCUUCUUUGCUGUCCCUACCCCUGUGCUCAUUUUGAAAUAGCCUGGCUAAUCCAAAAAAUAGACAGCUCACCAGAAAAAACAAAACAAAACAAAACAAACAAAAAAAAAACGCAAAAAACCAUCAGUUUCAAAUAUGAAUACAUGAUCUGCUACUUAAUAUGUCAGUGUAUUUGUCAGGUUGAUCACGUUAGGCUCUGUGGCAUUCAAUUCUAAGCCUUGCAAUAUUUGAAGUCUGAUAUUGUGCUUCACUAAAUUUAAUACAUGGGCCUCAGUAAUGGAGGGAAUCGCGUUACCACUUGGCAGUUUGUUAUGCUGUAUAAAAUUGACUGCCCUGCAAAUACAAUAGCGAUCAUAAAAACGGUGGUCAGCAGAGAGGGUGUAAUGCAUUUUUGAGGUUUCAGUAAAGGUCCAGAUGAAAUUUAUUGAGAUUUUUGCCAUUUGGGUGAUGAUCAAUAGAGCCAGGCUAAUAAUUUGUUGUGAGGACCUUCUCCGGGGAUAUGACAUUUUGCUGGGAAACUUUGGAAAUUCAGAAAGUAGACUAAAUGAUGAUACUGCCCCAGUAUAUAUAACCGUCAGAGACUUUAACAUCAGUCUGAGAGAGGAUUUACUGUGACCGUGAUUACUUCUUCAGGCACGGAGGAUGCGAUGCACUCAAUUAUUGAUAUGUUCUCCUGCAUUUCCCAGUUUGGACUCACAAUCAUUUGAUAGCCUUGCAGUGGCAGCCCAGGGGGGGUUUGCGGGAGGUCUGUUUCCCCUACCCCCACCUCAUUCACAGUUGCCAAAGAAUCACUGGGCCCAUUUUCUUAAUUAUGGCAUCGACUCCCCACCCUUCUUCCACUCUGGCCAGAAAAUGAUUUUCUUUGAAGGAAAGAAAAGAAUUCCUGUUGGCCUUCACUCACUUCCACGGAACCUACUUGAGAAAUGCUGACGAUUAAAACCGAUGUCCUUGCUUGGGUGUGGUGCCUGGUGUACAGAGACCUUCCGCUCUGCUUCAGUUUGCAAAGGGGGCUUCUGAGUCGAAGGCGUACAUGACAUGCAGAUCAUUUGUGAUCCUGAGUUUUAACGCCCAUACGUCAGGGGAUCUGUUAAAUCACCAUGAGACAGCAUUUUCUUGCUUGAUGGUGGUUGCUGUUGAAUUUAUCUGUUUUUCAACUUUGAUUACCUGCCUUCCAUGGGAGAUGAAUUAUCGGAUCUUCCCAAAGCUGGCUUCCUCUGCUGACAAUGCAGAGAUACCUCUUGGAGGGGGGUGGGGGGGGGAAGCAUACGAUAAAGAAGACUUGAACAGUUUGCAUUUGCAAUAUAGACUUCCUAUAUGCCCCUUUUCACGUCUGUACAGUGAGUAUGUGAGAAAAAGAAGUUUCCAUGUGAGGUUUUGUUUAUUUCCCAAACGACAACCUUAUUCUAUUUCCGUAUGAUAGUUCAUUAACCUGACCCAUUAAGUUGCAGCCUGUUCUCCUAAGGAAUUUGGUUGUUGUUGCUGCUCUUGGAUUAAAGUUAUAAAGUGACUCAUCGUGUAUGUUGGUUUACAGACACUCUGAUCAUUUUCAGGGAGUGGAAGUCUGUCAGUGCUUUCUGGAAGGACCACGAAGACUAGGCACAGCAGAACAAUUUAUUUCCAAGGUAGUUUGGAUCUAGAAGAACUCCAAGAAAGCCAUGCUGGUUCUAGUUUGUAUCUGGCACACAUGUUCAUCGGCCCUAGACUUUUGGAAUUAAUUGCCUUUUGGCCUGGAAAUAAGCAUCUGUUAAGUAUUGCAUGUGUUUCCGUGUGUGUAUCCUUUCUAUAAAUUGCCAUGCUGUUCACUUGAAGUGUGAAGAAGUAACACGGUGUUGGUGGAGCCAUGUUUGUGAGUGAGCCGAAUGAAAGGCAACAUGCCUUCCAGGAGAGACUCUUGAAGACAGAGAGGCUUGGUUGAAAAUGGUCUUCCAUGACAAGUGGAAAAACCUCAGGACUCUGGAGGGCUCGGCAUUGCCAAGGAACCGGAUCAAGUGUGGUUCUGCUGGGCUGGCCAAUGUGGUAGCCAGCAACUACAGGGGCUACUUACAUCUACAUUAAUUAGAACUAAUGAAAAUUUGAAAUUCGGUGUAGAGCACUUCCACAAUCACAGAACGUUCUCUUGGGCAGUGCCGGGCAAGAAUCAUCACGUGGGUGAGUGGUUCAAACUCAUCGGGCUAUGCUCAUUCCGGAAUGGUAACAGCCAUCCGCAGACUGCAGGGGUUGAUGCUGCAAAGAUUUAGUUCUCUCUUGUGCAAAGUUUAUUGCAGGCUUGGACAGCAGGAUAAGAGGUAGCAAGAGAGUCCUGCUGUGGUCUUUUUCGCUUCUCCUCAUGGUCCACUGGCCAAAACUGGUCACCGCAGCCCUAGCUCCCUGAAAAGGGCUUCUCUUCAGCCAAAUGAGCAUUAACUUACGACUUUUUACUACAGUGUACUAUUAUCAUCCCUGUUUUACACAUGCGAGGCUGAGGCCCAGAGAGGUUACAUAAUGUGUCUGAGAUUAAAUAGCAAAAGCAUGACUGAGCAGGGUUCCAGGCACACCGGAGUCCAGCUGCAAAGUCCCAUCUUUCCUUCAGCUUUGCUGACCCCUCUGAUGCACACCGGGAAGUGAUCAGAGGGUUUGUGGCUUUGGAAAACCUAUUCUGACCACCACAAAGAGCGUGGAGGAAGCGCAGGGACAGGCUGUGUGGUUAAAACUCUAAUAUAUGACAAUGGCAACUUAACCCAAAGGAAUAACAGUGCAAAACUGUCAUUGUUUGCAUUGCAAGGACUUAGAGGAGAAAGAGUAAGGAUCUAUUUCAUUUUCACAUUAAUGCACAGUGGCUCAAAAACUAUUUUGCAUAGACAACGCUGGCUAAUUUUUAUUGACCCUCUAGUAUUUGCCAGGUUCUAUUCUACAUGUUUAGCUUUCUACGUAUUAGUUAAUUGAAUAUUCAAAACAUCCCAGUGUGGUUGCUUCUCUUUGCAUGGUUUUAAAGAUGAGGACCUGGAGGCGGAGAGAGGUUAAGUAACUUGCCCAAGGUCACACAGCAGGAGAGCUAGAAUUUUCAACAGGUCCUCUGUGUGCAGAGCCAACGGUCUUAUUCAAGAGGAAAGCCGUAUUUGGCGAGAGGGAUGACUCAGAGGCAUGAAGCAUGGCCUGACAAGGGGGAAACACUGCUGACUCAAGUAGGGUAAUCCAGUGAUGCUAAUGGAAAGAGUAGGAUGUAAGGCUCAGACAUGGCAAAAAGCAUGGGGCAAUGGACUCCUGAAGUCAUGAGAGAUAUUGAGAUUUUGCGAGAGAAAUAUAUAGAGAAACAAAGGGGGAGAAUGCAUUUGCCGUCUUUGGCACCAAGACCUAGUAAAUAAGGCCAAGGGGGUUGGUGUUCAGUAACCUUCUCUACCUCUUGUCUUUGCCACGCUGUGGUGUGGGCAAGCCAGAUAACCUUUCUGAGGCAGCCUUCUCUUUUUGGCACAUGGAAUCAGAGAUGCUGAAAGUACAGGGUGUUGUAAGGAUUCAAGGAGAGAAGGCAUGUGUGAGUCUGUGCUCACAAACUCGAUUGUACAAGCAGAAGCACAUUUCUAUUGUAUUUUAAAAGUUAAUUUUAUCCUCAUCCUCAUUUCCACUUCAUGGGCGGGAAAGAAAUCGUCAUUAAGCGAAGGAUCCAGACUCUCACCUGGUGCCUAGAGCAGUAAGGGGCAGAGGUAGGAUGUUGCCUGAUCUCCACUUUGAUUGUCUUCCAGAUACAAAAGUUGCAUUUCUUCAGGGCAUGAGCUUGAGACUCAAAUAUUUGGUAGAAGCUUGGUCCACACACCCCUUUCCCUUUGGAGGUCUCUACUGCUUGUGAAACCCAUAGACUGUGAUCCUCUGACAAGCAUCCGGGAAUCUCAGUUAUAAUCUGCAUGAAACCUCUCUCUUUCUCUGACUCUGUCCUGUUCCCUCCAUGUAUGUUUUCUUUCUCUUCUAAUCUUUGUAUUUCCAUCAGAGGUACCCCAUUCUCUAUGAAGAACAUUGAGCAAAAGCACCUCAAAAGGCUUUCAGAAAGCAAGAUGGUCUUACAGGCAGCCUUGCCUUUCUGCCCUGGUCAUCACCAUCUCUUCAUGGCCCCCUCCCUUCUGCUCACCUCCUCAUCUUGAGAUCGAAGCCAAGGAGGGUCUUUCCUUCCUGUCUGAGUGAUGAAAUUCAGAGGAGGAAACACUGGAAGGAAAAUCCUAAAUAAAGAGCCCUAAAUACUUUGUAACCAGAUUUGCUAAAUUCUCAGCACCAUGCCUGGCAUAUUAUAUGUGUUGAAAAAUGGCUAAGUUGACUUCUACUACCUUUUUUUUUUUUUUUUUUUACUUCUACUGCUUUUGUUUUUAUUGGCAAGUGAGGAGAGGAACAGCAACUUGAGUAAAACAGGGACAGUUUCAGAAGAGGGUUUGGACAAAGAAGCAAAAAAGUUUUAAGAAUGUUGGGGUGGUGGAAAUCAAAGGCUGUGAAGAGCUCAGAGACUGAGAAAUAAAUCAGCGGGAUGUGAAAACAAGGACUUCAUGGUCGACCUCUGAGAGGGAGGCUUCAGUUGUUUGUGGAGGAGACACAUGUCCAGGUAUUAAAGUGCAAGCGGGUGAUGCAGAAGCGAGGACACUAAGGAGGGGUAAACCUGUAAAAGUUUGGCCAUGAAAGAAGUGAAAGGUAAAGACAGCAGCAUGAAAAGAAAGGCGGAGGUGAGUGUGGUUGCUGAUUAGACAUCCAGGUGGAGAUGGCAGAUGAACACAAAGCACCUAGAAGAAAAUGGCUGCCCAGAGUUUAGGGGAUAGGAAAUGUUAGCCAUCUCCUCCCUCUCCACCUCCUUCUCUGUCACCCUCUUCAUCUCCAUCCCCAUCUCCAUCUCCAUCCCCAUAUCCCUUUCCCUAUUUCCAUCUCCAUCUUCCUCGCUAUCCCUCUUUUCCUCUCCUUCUCCAUCCCCAUUCCCUCUCCAUCGCAUGUCCCUUUCCUUCUCCUUCUCCAUCCCCAUUCCCUCUCCACCUCUGUCUCUGUCUCCAUCUCCUUCUCCCUCUGCAUCUAUCUCAUCUCAUUCCAAUCUCCCCCUCUAUCUCCUUCUCCAUCUCCAUCCCCCUCUCCGCCUCCAUCUCUGUCUCUGUCUCCAUCUCCUUCUCCUUCUGCAUCUAUCUCAUCUCAUUCUAGUCUCCCCCUCUAUCUCAUUCUCCAUCUCCAUCACCCUCUCCAUCUCCAUCUCUGUCUCCAUCUCCUUCUCCCCCUGCAUCUCCAUCUCAUCACAUCUCAGUCUACCCCCUCUAUCUCUGUCUCCAUCUUCCUCUACAUAUCUUUCUUAUUCAUUGAAUGGUAGAUCCCUUCUCACUUUUACAACUUAGAUUAAAUCCCAUCUCCUCUUGACCUUCUUUUAGUCAUGUUUCUUCACCAUCUCAUCUAAGUGCUUAUCCCCCAUCUGUCUCUAUUACAGGACCUGAAUCAUUUUUCUUUAUGCUGCUACUAUAACCUGCAAUUAUGUAUCCAUUGCUAUAUUGCCUGUUUGCCCAAGCAGAUAGUUUUGUGAGGAGAGGGACCCUGUCUGUUUAACCCAUUGAUGGAUACCCAGGAUCUGGCACAUGGCAUGAAUUUAAUAAGGAUGUUUUUAGUGUAUAAUCAGUGAAUUGGGGGACAUCUUUCUUUCUCUUUGAUGAAUGGAUGAAUUUGUAGCAUCUUUCUAGGCUUUUUUUUUUUUUUUUUUUUUUUUUUUGUAAAUCUCUGAAUCAACAGUGCCCAUCUAAAACCCUUAGGGCAGAGUUUCUCAGAGUAAAUUCCAUGCCGUAAUGAUAAAACUUAGCAGUGGAUGAUGGGGACCUGGAUUGACAUAUAUGUAUGGGAAAGAUGGUCUUGAACUGCCCAUCAUGAUUCCUUUGUGUGGCUUCAAAGAGCCAGCUGUCCUGAAGGAUUGCCAGCAGCAGAGUUCCAUGGCUUUCCUCUGUGAAAUUUGUUCAUCAGGCAUCAGCGUUUCCCGAAGGAGUUCAAGUAUGGAUUCUAAGUGUCUCAGAUCCUGGGGUGGGUGUGGGAGGGAGAAGGAGGGCAUGAGGAUGACCUCUGGUUGGAAGGAAGAAUGAGGUCUCCUCCGCUUGGCAGAGCCCUGCAGGAAGCCACCCUCGGCUCACCCCAGGAACUCCCAGUGAUUAUCCGGGGUGGUUUCCGAACCAUGAGUCACCAUGUUCACCGUGGCUCUGGCUUUAUGCGAAUGGAACGUCUAGACUUGCAGUCGGCUGGGGAAGGAGGGGGCGGAUCCUUGUGAGGAGACAAGGAAAACAGAUGGUGGGUGUUAGGACUGGGCUGGAAUUGCUUCCUGUCCUUCAACUUCUGAAGACUCAGAGAAUUAAUUUCAGGGCAUCUAUUCACAUCCAAUAUUUCUUCAUUUCAAUGCACCCACAGGAGGCCAGACACAGUGCUUGGUCCUGGGAAUAUAAUGCUGAUCAAGACAGAGACGGACCCUGCUCUGAUGCAUCUCAGACUACAGCUAGGGACACAGCCAGGAUAAGUUACCAGAAGGUUGCUUAAUGCAAGUUGCGAGAGAUGCUCUAAGGCUCUAAGGGAAAAGUAUGCAGGCUUCAAUGAAAGCAUCAAGCAUGGAAAUAUAACUUUGUUAGAAGGAAUCAAUAGUAAUUUUGGGGAAACAAGGGGAGAUUUAUAAUUCUCCCCGACCUGAUAAAGGACCACGUGCUAAUAAACAUUAAUGCCAUUUGUACUUUGGAUGCCUUAAACUGACCUAACAUUAGCAUUUCCAAGUGUUUCAAAGAGACGGGCUACUCUCAUCCCCCUGGACCCCUUCUUGUCCUUUAUCUCAACACCCAAUUCACUAGCAAGUCCUGAUCCAGCCUUCCCCCUCCAUCCCACUGUUGUCCGCCUAGUCAGAGUCACCAUCAAGGUUCCCCCAGCGACUGCGCUAGCCUCCUAACUGGACACUCUGCUUCCACACCCGUCCCCACCUCUCUAUUCUCCACACUGCAGCCAGAGUGACCUUUUAAAGUAAUAAAUCCCAUCAUGUUCUCCCUCUUCCCUGAAAAUGCUUCAGUGGGUUUCCAUUUCACUUAGGGGAAAAUCCAGCCUUGUUACCAUGCCCAUGUGGCAACAUCCAGCUGCUAGGUUUCUCUGUGACCUCAUUGUUAUCCCUCUUCUACCAACUCCGGUUCCCCAUGCUUGUUUCCUCACAGAUCCUGGAAGAUUGCAAGACUUUGUUUUUGUUUUGUUUUCACCUCUGGGUGUUUGUCCUGGCUCUUCCAAUCCUGCUCUCCAUGUGGCUGGUUCUUUCAUGGCCUUUGGUCUCUACUUCCAGAGAGUUUCUCCACUGGGGCUUUCUGCUAUCAAUCAAAACACUCUGAUUCAUAGGCCAUAAUUGGUUAUCCUCUCAUUUACAUAUGUGGGCCCCUAUUGUCUGUUUCCCCCACUUAGGUUUUUCAGGCAGGGACCACCUCUGUUGUUUUUACCUUGUAUUCCCAACAACUGUGCCAUGGGGAUCACAUUGGGUUGCUUUAAAAAGUGUUGAAUGAAGGAAAGAAAGAGGAAGGAAGGAAGGAAGGAGGGAAGGAAGGAGGGAAGGAAAGAAAGAAAAAGAAGGAAAGAAAGAAAGAAAGAAAGAAAGAAAGAAAGGAAGAAAGAAAGAAAGAAAGAAAGAAAGAAAGAAAGAAAGAAAGAAAGAAAGAAAGAAAGAAAGAAAGAAAAAGGGUUAGUCCUGAGGAAUUCUUUUAUUUGUCUUCCUGCUUCCUUAGCAUCAUCUGCUGACACAUUUGGAGAGUAUUUUUCCAUGAGAAUCCAUUUCUACCUAUGAUAUAGCUGGUUUCUGACCCUUGAGAUAAAACUCCAGAACUGGAGCUGGGUGGCAGAGAGUGCUUUUGGAGAGGUAAAAUUUGUUAUUAGUAUUAUUGUUUAUGUGUCCAGUGUCCUUCAUAUUUUUCUUUUUAUAUAGCAUUUGACAUUUGCAAAAUGUUUUCCAUUUAUUUUUAUGUAGGGGAAAGCAAAAGGCUGUGUGUGUGUGUUCUGGUGUUUUUUGUUUGUUUUGUUUUUUUUUUAAGUGAGUAUAAAGACAAGGCAUCUGAUUCAGGGAAAUAUUUGUGCUUUGAUGGGGACAAUUAAAAGAGAGAGAGACAAAGAAAGACAGACAGACAGAAAGAGAGAGAUGGCAGAGAGAGAGAAGGAGACAGUGGUGAUAAGGCUGCAAACCCUCAUUCAGCCCCCAGCUCUAAAGGAAUAAGCACUGAGCCCCUGGAGAAGGGUGGAAACAUUAAACGACCCAAGAAAAUGGGAAAUGGUGUGGGGUGUGAGAUUUCUUUAUUAGUCAAUUUAAAAUAAAAUGUGGCUCAGUAAUUUAGAAUGUGUCUGGAGUCAAGCAGAAAAUUAGCCAUAUUCACAUACGCUUCCCCCUCCCCUGAAGGCAGUAGAAGCACCAAUAAAAAUAAAAAUAACAAUACCUUGUAUUUAUGGGGUAGCUUUCUCCCAGAGCUUCUUCUCACUCACCCUUUUUAUCUUUUUUGUGUCCUUGGAGGCAAGCAAGGACCUGGAGCUCGAGAAUCAGCCUCACAAAUAUCUUUAUUGUGAAAACUUCUUAGAAGAGCUUCAUUGGAUCAUUCAUUCAUUCAUUCAUUUGCAUAUAUUAUUCAGCAGGGUUCAUUGAGCAUCUCUUGUGUAUUAGGCACUGUGAGAUGUUUGGGGCGUAGUGUGCAUCCUAUGAAGUGUUUAGUGAAAGCCGCUCCAGGUUUUGACACAAUGAGGUUUAUCCAUGGACUUUGGAAUGACCAUGACUUCUUUAAAGCAUGGCGCUGUCAUUGUGCCUUUGCAUCGUUUUCCUGACUGAAUUCAGAGUUGAGAUGUCUGCACAGGAUUUGCCCCUCUGGAAGACUCUCUCUGUAGUUUGCUAAAGCGAUGGUUUGGGAUAUCUUGAAGAGAGCCUUGUUUGAGGAGUCUCAGAAUCCCCAGAGUCCAGCAAAAGUAGAAGCCACUUCUCCCCAGGGGAAUGGAUGUGUGUAAACAUUUUGCAGCCUUACUUGGGGUCCACAGUUGUGGAUACUCAUCCUGGAUCUCCAGUUACCAGGUGGAAAGCUCUCGAUGUGGAGGCAUCUAGACCUAUGGAGGAAUCUCACAUACCGGCACUGAAGGAUGCAGUGGAGCUCUUCCUUUGAGCUCCCCCUUAAAGGAUGGCAUCACUCUGCACAACAGCCCCCCUCCCCCACCUCGCACCACUUUCCCCAGAUAGACUCCCUCCUACUUAACAGCUGAGAAAAUAAAAUGUUUUCCUGCAUGUCUAUGAAAAAGAGCUUUAAAUCAAUAGUAAAUCAAGGCAUGGAAUAAAAGAGUCUUUAUGGCCCGAGAAGGUGAUUUCUGAAGGUUGCUAUUUGGCUGCGUUGGGUUUGUGUCUCCCUGGGGAUCUCCAGCGGUGCAGCAGUGUCUGUGAUCUGAGGUGCCUUUGCCCGAAUGGAAAAGUCACCCUCUUCCUACCUCCACCAGUGGAGGGCAGGGAGGUAACACAAAUUCUGGCUGGGUUAUCAGACAGGUUUUCCUUGAAGUUUUUCUUCUCAGCAAGCUCUGGGUUAGAUAGGGCUGGUUGGCUCCUUGGACAGUGAUCCUUUUCUAAACCUAAGUGUCCCCAGGUCUCAAAGUGCUUCUCCUACAGUUUGGGACAUUCCCUACCCCCACCCCGUCUUCUGCUAUAUACCUGUUUUGUCCUGUUUUGUUGUCUGUUUUGUAUUGUUUUGCACUCAAAGGGAGAGCCAGUCCUCAUAUUUUGACCUGUAGACAAUCACCAGGUUUCAAUUUUCCUGUGUUACAUUAAUGAGAAGAUUGAGAAGCUGCAUUCCUUUGAUGGAUGCUUAACAACCGAGUUUGGCCUCAAUGAGGUGCUGAUGCAGAUCCUGACAUAAACGAACAAAAACACACCUCUGAGCUUGACAUAUCUCAGUGCCUUGGCUGCAUCUGCAGAAGACAUGGAAACUUCUGAGUCAAUUUCUCUCUCUCCGUCCACCCCACAGUGCCUCUCCAUGAGUUCUGCCCCUGGCCAGUCCUCUUCAUUGGCAGACAAGCUGCUUCUCAGAGGGCUGCCUGCCUUUCAGGUUGGCUACCCCCACGAGGAGCCUCGACAGCAGCCACGUGCUUGCCCGCAUCACUGUUUAGCAGCCACUCCUUCCUCCAUCCUUCCUAUAACAGCGUUCACCUCAUCUGCUCUGCUGUUUGAUUACCUGGCUGGGGGCUAAGAGUGCUGUGAUUAAAUACUGCUAACUCCCCUAUUCUUAUGCCUCUUUCCAAGGGGGUAACGAUGAGUUUGAAAAUGAGAUUUGCGUGUCUAAGCACAUCUAGAUUGGGGAGGGGAAUGGCGCCGCCUAAGGCACCCUAGGUACCAACUGCAGCUCCCAGUUCAAGCCACUUCUCCAUUUCCCUUGAGACUGUGGGUUGGGGGGGUUGGAGUGGGGGAGGGCUCACACCCCAUCUAGUAACUGCAAAUGUCACGUAUCAAAAUUCCAAGUUUCCCAGGCACUAAAAAUGAUAGCUCUGCUUGCUUGUAAUAUAUCUUGCCUUUGAAAAUGUACUUGCAGUAAUGGUCUUUCCCAAGCAAAAGGAGAGAGGGAAUUGCAGUGUCCACAUUCCUUGCUGAACCUGUGGAACCUCUCACCUACGCACCAGCUCUUCCCCCUACCUUCCAAAAAGGCUUCCUGAUAUUAGGAGAGGGCUACACUGCACAGGCCAUUGGGGUUCACUUUUGCAUUUCGUCCAGCGCUCCUUGAGCUCCUUAUUGAAACUGGGCAAGAGCAAUAUGCCUGUGACAUCAAGCCUGUUCCCCAUCACUCCAGAAACGCUGAAACUGGUGCCCACAGUUGGGUCUAGUGUGUGUUUGCAUCCUACGUUGGCAUGCAUCUUUGUGCUAUCUGAUAGCCUUCCCAGAGAUCUCCACUGUAGGUGGGUGUGGUGUCUGCCAUAUAGGACACAUUAUUCCAUUAACUCACCAGCCAAGAGCCACAAAGUGGAUGGUCUUGGAGCCAAAGCCGCCCCUCCCCCACGUUAUGGUUUACUUUUGCUGCAUCUCAUGGCCUUUAUUUCGCUAUUGAUGCUGCCGCUCUGGGCAAUGCCCUCAUUGGCUCCUCGGGAGACAGUGUGUCAAAUGUGGCAGUGAACAAGAGGGACCGCAGGUGACUGGUUACGGGACUUCCGUGGAACCCAUUAUUGGAAUAAGGUAAUGGGGUGAGUAGGAGCAGAAACAGUGGGGGUAUUUUUCUGAGAGGCUUUCCCAGGAGGCAUAUGAAGGUAAAAAGGUGCCCCCAAGAUCAGAGCCUAAGUGAAAGGGUUGUACUUUAGCAGAUGGCUAGAGGUGGACGGACCGGCCUGAUCACAGCCAGUCUCUGGGAAAUGAGGCACAGUCCACUUAGAGGAAACAAAAAAAGUGCUACGUCUCAGUCCUGACUCAGAGGAUCCAGAUCUCUAGACCUCACCGUGCCUGGUCUCCAUCAGACCAAUGGUUAUGAUGAAAAAAAAAUGUCCAAACAAAGGGAUGAAAUUUAAAAGCAUCAGGGAUGUCAUCUUAGGAGUUUUCCCCCUGAAUAAUCAUGACCAGGAAAAUCCAAGAAGCCAGAUUUCAGCAGCUAUGCAGGCUAUUACAGAAUGAAUUGUUUGCAUUUGCCUGUACUGUUCUCCUCUUUCAUUUUUGCCUUGUCUCAAGGUCUUCCUUGAUAUAUAUAUAUAUAAAAUAUCUUUUCCUUUAUAUCUUAAUACCUAUUUUGCUGAAUGCAUCUCUCCCUCAGAUCCCUUCUCUACACCAAGAGGAGGGUGUCUCCAUUUCAUGUUGUAAGUCUCAGGGCCCAGUUCCCUGAGCAGAAAACAUAGCUGUUUGAUCGUGAGUGGAGAUUUUCCAAGUUUGAUUUUCUAACAAUUCACCCUUUCCCUUGUACUUGUGAUAAAUUCCAGAUGUAUAGUUUAAAUGGUCAUUGAAUAGAUGUGCAGCUCUGCUGUCUCCAGUUUUAACAUGCUUGAACGAUCUCAAAAUGAGGCAAUCGCUGGAGCAGAAACCCGGGGAGGCCUGGGAGGCAGAGCCUGCCUGAGACUGAUCCUGAAUGCAACAGCCCCAGGCACUUGCUCACAGACAGGCUCUGAGUAUGUUUGUAGCCGAGUGACCCACAGGUCACUUUUUCAUUCCUUCCCCUGCUCACAGUUCUCAGCCAGGUGACUGUGCAUGUGCCUCACAGCAGUUCAGGCUGAUGCCUUUUUGUAGAAGGAGGCAUCAAGGUAGAAACACCUGGAGCCAUAGUACUCUGCUACUUUCCUGGUUUACAGAUUUUUUUUCAAGGUAAGAGGCCUCCGGGUCUACCUCCCCUACACGCGUUCUGCUCUUUGUUUCUAAGAGACUGCCUGCCUCCCACUAGGAGAUGGUCUUUGAAGACGCAAGUUUAUAGAGAUGGAAGAGAGAAACGCAAGAGUUGGAAAUCGUCUUCUGCAGACCGGAAUCUGGAAUUUCCACCUUUGUGUUUCUGGCUCAGAGCCAAGGUGGCUGGACUUUCUGGUGCUGUUCCCACCUGGUACCAGCAGCUAUCGCAAUAUGGCUGGUUGCCUGUUAAGGACUUGGCUAGAGGCUCAUCACUGGAGAACGCAGGAUGAAGAGUCCAGGCUCUGGGUUUUAUCUCCCAGUGAUGGCAAAAAUGCAUCCAUGGGUUCCUUGCUACAUUCACCCUGCUAAGUCUUUGGUUAACACCACUGUCAUCCCAUGGAUGGGUGCAAACUCUCUGGGUUCUUUCUUCCUGUCCCCACACUCCAUCUCCACUCUGUUCUGCCAACUGCCACCCUAGUGAUCCUUCCGCAAGGACAGUCACUUCCUACUGAAGUCUCCUUAGAGGCUCUCAGCAGUGAGCAUUUGUUCCUUAACACAGUCCUCAUCCUGGCCCCUGCUCACCAUCUCAUCUGGAUUCAAACUACAUCAGGUGACCUGUAGUUCCAAGAAUGUGCCAUGUUUCUCUUGCACCGAGAUCUUUCUAGACAGCAUUUCCUCUGCUGGGACCCUUCUCCACCUCUGUUUUGCCUCCCUACUUUAUUUUAUUUUGUUUUAUUUCAUUAUUUUCCUCCCUGUCUCUUCCCUUUGUCAUUCAGGAACCUAGAGAUUUUAAAUCUUAUGAGUCCAUCUGUGAACAUCUCCUGCCCCAGGCUGGGUGGCCCAUCCUUCUCUCCCUCUUCCCCUGUGUGUCUUCCAAUCCCAGGGCAUUCACAGGCUAUUGAUGCUUCCUCUUCAGGACCCUCCUUCUUUUAGAGCAUACACACCUUAAAGACACGGAGUAUGCUUUAUUUACCUAGUGGCUGACGGCAGUUUAAAUGCAAGGAGUAGGAGAGUGUUCCCAACUUAUUCAUACAUCCCUGACCAUGCCUCCACUUUUUCUGGAUCUUGCUCCCCCCCCUUUUUUUUUUGUCUUCUUCAUCAUUCCCACAGUAGACUAGGCCACCCUGUGUUAAUGCCCUGCAAUUUGAGGAGAUUCUUUGUAAACAUCAUAAACCUAAAUUGGUCCCUAGGCUCUAUUUGAGAACUGCUGAUUCACACCCUCCUGUAUAAAGUCACAGCCAUAACAACUUGCACCGUUACUAGCACUCAGUGAUAAUGCCGGUUCCAUAAAUGAUGGCACCAUGAAGAAAAUAAGGAAUGGGACUGUUUGAUCAGCUCGUCAAAGACGGUCCCUCUGUUCGAUGACAUUGCUUCCUGCUUUAUUCAUUGUUUAGUUCUCUACAACUAUUAUCGCCUCCAGAAAGCAUUAUUUAAAAAGUACAGUCAUGUUGUAAAAGAAAUAAAUCAAAGAUUGUUUGGAUAUCAGCUGUUAACUUUUUGCUUCUUACUUAAAAAAAAAAAAAAGAGAGAGCCAGCGGUGUUCAUUGGAGCAUGUGUGGGGUUAUUAAUAAUUUACUCAAUCUAUUGAUGCUCGUUAAUUGCAGUAGCUGAGAAAAGUUAGUUAAUGAUGUGCCUGCUUGCACCACAUUAUAAUUAUGAUGGUAGUUCCCCUAUUAUUAGGGCUGAGUAGGUGUUCCCAUUAGAAACCUUAAUUUUCGAGCUGAUUGUCUUAGCCAUUUUAAAUUACAUCGGGCCACUUCUUGGCAGACACUUUCUGAAAGCAGAUGCACUUCUUUCCAAAAUUAUUUUUAUGGUGGCACAGGAAUUCUCCUCUUCAAAUGAAAGAAGACAUAAAGUGUGUUCCAUUUUCAGGAACUCUUUUGUUAAGCUCCAACCAGCCUCCUAGCAUCAUCAUGUAGGAAGUUGUCCAGCAGAAGGGAAGAUUUUCCUUGAUCCAGAAGCCACUCGGGCCAAAAUCAGACCUCUUUGUGAAAGAGAAUUUUUUAAAAUCAGCCACAGAAUGGAAGGUAUAUCCUGCUUUUCCCACAUUCACAUGGUUUCAUCAGUACCGUUUUUAGUGCAAGUGACAGAAUCCACAUUCCAGCAAAUUUAAACUUGUUUUUUAAACAAUGGGAUUUAUUGGCUCAUCAAAUUAGGAAACCAAAAGCUAUGUUGUCUUCAGGCAGGGCUAAGUCCAGGAAUCCAAGUAAUGUCACUAGUGUUAUGUCUAUGCUCCAUCUUUUGCCUUUUCCCUCCGAGUGUUGGUUUCAUUCUUGAGCAGAUUUUCUUCAUGUGGCCAGUUGCAGCCUCCAGGCUAUAUUCUUAACAGCUCCUGUUUUGAAACAAAACACCAUCCUCUCUCCUCCAGCUUCCAAAUAUAAAAUAAGAGAGAUAUCAACUCUGUUUGGAUCACAUUCUCAUGCCUGAACCAACUACUGGAGGUAGAAGAAGAAAGAAUUUGAUUCCACCAAGACCAUGUAUCGAUAGCAAUAGCACAGGUGGGGGUUACAUAACUUGACUAAAACCACAACAUGGAAAACAUUGUAUCAGUAGAAAUAAAAGUGUACCUACCAAUAAUGAGGAGGAGGAGGAAGAGGAGGAGGAAAAGAGGGAGAAAGAGGAAGAGAUGAUGGACCAGAAACAAAAUGUGGAUUUACUGCUUCUAGGUGUAUCUACUACCUCAACCCACCCCUUGGCUGACCUGAUAGCCAAUGAAUGUUGACCUUAACUCUUUAUACCUGUCAUAACUCAAAACCCUGUUAAAGCUUUGAUUGCAGCUUGAAUGCUAGCUUAUUUGAAAGAGGUGCCCUUGAGGUCAGGGGUGGCCAAACAGGUGGUCAUGCCGUCUUGGUGAAGAUAUUCACGAAAGUCACUGAUUCUGUUGGCCUUAUUGCCAUGGUCUCUCCAUUGUGUUGGAACAAAACCUGAGUCUGGUGCGCAUACAUCUCAGUAAGAAGGGAUUAGUUUCCCUUUGGAAAUGUAGUAUGCGGAAACAGUUGUAUCCUGGUUUAGUUCAGCAUCUACCAAAAAAAAAUAAUAAUAAUAAUUGUUUAGACGAGUUAGCCCUUUAUGGGGUGUAGACCUGAGAUUUCAUGCCCAAACAUAGUGGACCAUUUCUGUCUCCAGAAGGGACAAUAGAUGAUGAGUCAUACAGAGCCUGGCAUGAAGGAACUUCAAGUAUUGGAAGAUUCCAGGGCCCAUGAGAGUACAAUAGACAGAGAUGACUUUGCAGAACAUGAAAUCUGGGCCAGACGUAAACCAAGGAAAGGCCAUUGUCACUUCAUGAAGCCUAUGUAACCUUAUGAUCCAGAGUUAUACCCGUUUAUGAUUUGGGAGGGCUAUCAUUUGGAUAAUAACAUAGAACCAUGCCCUUGUUUAAUAUUUUGUGUAAAACCUCUCUUUUAAUGUUAUAAUCUGUCUGUGGGAAAAACAAGGGUUGCUGAAUUUCCUCCUUCCCUCCUAUUAGGAAUAUCCCUGUGUUACUUGGUGGACACAAACAUUUUUUAUUCUGCAAUAACUCAACUUCAGGGCUGGGUAAAAAACCUCUUUUAAAUGCAUACCUAGAGACAUGGGUCAAAAAUCUCCUGAACUUUUCUAUGUUUAUUGAUUGAAAUAAAUCAAUAAACAUGAUCUGAUUUAGUCUCUAUGGCCAAACCAUAAAUGCAAUCUUUUAUUUUAGUCUUUCCUCCCUGUCCCACCUUCCAGGAAGAUUUUGACUUAAGGAAGGAGGACAUUUAUUGGAUGGAAGAGGCAUCUACUUUAUUGCUGUGCUUGUUAUCAACUAGUCAUUUCGAGAGAAGAAAUACCAUGAGAAGGUUUCCCCAAAGAAGGCAGCCAUCAGAUGUUUUCACUCUUGAUACCAAGGGGAAGGAGAUAGAGGUAAAUUAUUCUAGUUAGGCAUUAAAGCAGAUAAAAACAUCCCUUCUCAAAUAAGGGGAAUGGAAAUAAAGACACGAAAACAUUCUAUUAACAUCUCUGUGGAUUUACUUUUCAAUUUACUCAUCAUUGCCAUCAUUGUUGCUGCUUCCGAUAUUAAUAUUUUAACAGCAGAUUUGUUUACGUAUUCUGUCAGAAUAUCUAGAAUUUAUAAGGAAUUUUUUUCUAUCUAUAGACAAGCACUCAAGGUUGCUUUUCGGGAUUUAUUUUAUCAACCCAAGGGCAUCCAUUGGGCACCUCCUCUGUGCCUAGUGUUGUGAGAUGAAGUAAAUAGGAUCAAGUUGCUACCCUCAAGGAUUUCCAGUUAGAGGAAGACUCGCUCUAAAUAGUUAUGUGGUUACACACUAUUGUGCUGGAAGGAGUUGCGUGAAGGAUGCUGUAAGUGAAAGGCUGAGGGAUAGUCCUGUAUCUCCACCUAGGAAGAUUAGAAAAACCCCAAAGUGUAUGGGGAGCAUUUCAAGUGUGGGAAGGAAAAGAGAAGUAGCAGUAUUCCAAGGAAUUAGGGUCUGUAAAAGAUUUAUCAGCCACCUACCAAAAAAGAAAAACAGAAGAAAGAAAAAAAAUUAGCCAUCCAGCUAGGUCUCUAAUAUUUAUAAUUUAAAUGCCAUGUAUAAUAAUUCUAGACUGGAUCUAUAGAACUAACAUUCUUUUUAAUAGCUUCAUAGUAUUCCAUUUUAUGAAUAUGAGUAUAUAUUGAAUACAUUCCUUAUUAAUGCACACAAAAAAUGAUUUGGUUUAAGGUAUUUUUUUCCCUAUUUCAAGCACUGUGCUUAUUUAUACAUCUAUCUCUUGGUGUUUGUGCAUGUAUAUUUAUAGGACAAUUUCUUACUUCUGCAAGGGCUGGAUCAAUUUACUUUUCAUAGAUAUUGCUAAAAUUUGCCCUCCAGAAAGGUUUCAUUCAUUUACAUUCCAACAAUGUAUGUGAUAACGUGUUUUCUUCAAAAAAAAAAAAAAGGUGCCUUUGAAACAACAUUUUCCUUAUA